AUUUCAAGGGGGGGCACCUGUCGCAGCACGCCGCGUGCGGGAUGACGGCCUUCGGGUUGUAAACCGCUUUCAGCAGGGAAGACCGACGGACGGUACCUGCAGAAGAAGCCCCGGCUAACUACGUGCCAGCAGCCGCGGUAAUACGUAGGGGGCGAGCGUUAUCCGGAUUCAUUGGGCGUAAAGCGCGCGUAGGCGGCGCGCCAAGCGGAACCUCUAACCUCGGGGCUCAACCUCGAGCCGGGUUCCGAACUGGCGCGCUCGAGUUCGGUAGAGGCAGGCGGAAUUCCCGGUGUAGCGGUGGAAUGCGCAGAUAUCGGGAAGAACACCGAUGGCGAAGGCAGCCUGCUGGGCCGACACUGACGCUGAGGUGCGAAAGCUAGGGGAGCGAACAGGAUUAGAUACCCUGGUAGUCCUAGCCGUAAACGAUGGACGCUAGGUGUGGGGAGGAUCGCCUCUCCGUGCCGAAGCCAACGCAUUAAGCGUCCCGCCUGGGGAGUACGGCCGCAAGGCUAAAACUCAAAGGAAAUUG
rnacentral:rRNA from 1 species